rnacentral:lncRNA from 7 species
AAUUGCAAUCUGAUUUUGUUGGCUAUAAAGAAAAGCUAUCCACACUUUAACAUCCAGCAAACAAACUUCUUCUCAAAAAGCCCUUCUACAUUUAACCUUAAUGUAAAGGAAGCCUGUUCAUUUGCUGACACUCAGCGCUCUGAACCACUUCACAGGAUUAUAACAGGACCACAGCCCUUGCGAAACACAGCAGUGAAAAUGAGCUUUCCAACUCUCAUGAAACACAUCUGAUGUCACUGCUUUGGAGGAUUCAGAGAAGUACAAGUACCGAACAGUAUUAUCACGGCAAACAUAAGCAGUGUUGACCCACUUGCUGAGGGAAUUCUUGCCAGGAGAACUCAAGAAUCCAAGAUACUUGAAGUCAUCCAAGGAAUACAACAUGCGUGGAGUACAAGAUGGAAACUGUUCUCAAGUUGCAAAAGAAGAAGUCAGGAAGCCAGAACAUCUUGGAUAAAGAACAAAUACAGAAUGACUUUUUCUGCCACUUCGAAAAGAAAACAAUUCACAGCUAUGGAACACUCCAUCUCCCCAAGGAUGUGUCAGAUGCAUUCCAGUUAAUGUGUCCAUGUGUUUUCUCAUUCUCCACGCAUGGAACAUGAAUGUUCCUUCUACAGACGGUGAGAGGAAAAAAUAUUCCCAACUCUCAGCUGUUCAGCCAUAAACAGUGUGUUCAUAGUUAUGUGAGCUACAUUGAGAUACAAAGCUACAGAUUCUGUAAUUCUUCAAAUGAAAAAUGCAUUACAGAGGUUUAUUAAUAGGCCCAGAAAGCCUUCCUUCUGUUUAUAAUGCAACUCUGUAGAAAAUCAUAUCAAUCAUAUUCCCAAAGGGGUAUUUUACCCCUCUGGAACAAAGGACAAAAAAAAAAACUCCAUAAAAUAGUACAACCAGAGACAAUUGUUCUGUACUGAUGUCCUCUGUUCCCGUAUGUUCUUAUUUUUGAACCAUGUAAGAAUUUCAAUCAUGGAACAGAACCAGAUGUAUCAGAGAAAGUCUUUUAAUCUUGGCACAUUCAGGCAAAAUCUGCUUUAAAUGACUAAACAUGACUAAACCUUAAAUAUUUAAUUUGGGAGAGUUGCCUACCUACCAGUGACACGCUGCAGUCACUCAGAGAAAACACUUCAAGAAACAGCCUAGGAAAGAUGCCAAAGCCAACACUCCACUCCUACCUCCCAAAAGGAAUGAAAUGAAUACUGCAUCUGCAGUUACAAAGAAAAAAAUCACUGGACAGGAGUUCAUCUUUGGAAAGACUAUUUUAAGAUUCUUCCAGAAGUACCACCUGUAUAUGAAGGAUGCGGGUUUAAGCUAGAACCAUCUUCACAUUAAGCUCUAUGCUGUUAGUUCAAAUAUGCUGGGAAAAAAUAAAAACAAACAAGCAGAAGUGGCAAAUGAUUAAUGAUUAGGAAAACCAAGGGUUUGCUUAUGCAUAUAAUCCAUUUGUACAUACUUCAAAACAGCUGUUUGUGAACAGCUUUAAUAGUUGUGAACUAUUAAAACUGUACUAUCUACAUAUAAACAAACAAACGAAAAAAAAAUAAGAUUUACAUACAAAGCUACCACUUCUACAAAAAGCUCACUUUAACAAAGCUACCACAUUCCCAUACCAGACACUGGCCAGGACUCUAUCUGACCUGUAAGUCUUUGAUGAGUGCUUAAAUGUGCAAGCCAACAACCACUGGAACUAGCUGGAUUCUGAAUACAGCAUAACCAUAAGGCUCAACAGGAAUGUUAAGAAAGUAUUCAUAACCAUUACACAGCAUUAUAUUAGGAUUUAUUCAUCUGCUUUUAUUCAGAUGAAUAUCACCAACCAACUCUCCACUGUAAGCCUUAGUUAGAAAUGGCACUCUAAAAUUAAAGUGCAAAAAUCAAAAUGGGGAUUGAAUGGUUAUUGUACUGUUUCCCAGAUUCCAAACCUAGAAGCUGUCACUGGAGAAGCCUGGUGUCUACAGGCACCAAACGUAAGUCCUAUGCUCUUAUGUUACUGCAUACAGAAAGCUGCUGAAGUGCAAAAGCCCCACAAACUGUGAAAUCCUAUGGGACUUGUGUGUGUGUAAUACAGUCUGAGUGUCAAAUUGCCAAAUUACUUCCACCUGUUCUUCCAGAUAGUAACAGCUACAGAGAGGAAAGAAUUUCGCUGCAUGCUGGAAGUGACACAUCAAAAAGAUACCCCAAACUAUUCCAAGAUAUCCUUCCUUAUGCAUGUUGUCACCUUUAUUCAGUACAUAUUUUUUUAAACUCCAGGGGUUAUCUGAAACCUACCAAAUGUUCUGACAAACACUACAGCCUCACACUCUGACUUUAAACAGGACGUUAACUAGCUUUACUUUUAAGAGAUCGUAACUACGUUUUGGGAUGAUUAGGCCAUACAUAAAAUGUAUGUCAAUCAGAGUGCACCGGGAGCCCAAUUAAUUGCUUAAUGGCUAUCACAGAACACACAGCCUUUCCAAAUCCUGGCACUGAGUUCCUCAUCACCUGCAGCAUGGAGGAAAAGGAACUUGCCUCAGCUCUGGGGAAGAAUGCAGUCUCGUGAUCCACUUAAAGCCUGCUCAAACACUUCUUUGGAACAGCUGAUAAUAUCAUAAAUGCACCUACAGUGUUCCCCAGAUGAGAGAUAAUCCUGAAAAUAAAAAUAUUUAAGUUGUUGUUGCGCUGAUU